UACGGGGGGGGCAAGCGUUGUUCGGAAUUACUGGGCGUAAAGGGCGCGUAGGCGGCUCGCUAAGUUGGAUGUGAAAACUCUGGGCUUAACCCAGAGCCUGCAUUCAAAACUGACGGGCUGGAGUUCUGGGGGGGAUAGCGGAAUUCCUGGUGUAGCGGUGAAAUGCGUAGAUAUCAGGAGGAACACCGGUGGCGAAGGCGGCUAUCUGGACAGAAACUGACGCUGAGGCGCGAAAGCUAGGGGAGCAAACAGG
rnacentral:rRNA from 1 species